AGGAAUAUGCAUUGAGAAAAUAAGUAGUGAGAGAAGAUAAUUUGAUAGAAGUGACUGCAAUAAAGAGAAGAGAGACAGAUGUGGCUUUAAAGAAUUGACGCAAGGCGUACAAAAGAUCUGAGGAUAUUCUGGGACAGAAAGGAAAUGCGAGUGGAAUGAGAAAGCUUGAAAACGGGUGAAAUAGAGGGAGUGAAUGAGACUGGCGGCCCCAGAGGCAAUAGAAGUCAUUUAUUCUAAUGGAUAACGGCGAUGUGAUUAGUCUGAAAACAGUCUUCACUAGAACACUGGAAUCUUCCCUAGAAACAGAAGAAAAAAAGGGCAGGUAAAAGACAGUUUAAUGAUACAGGAAGAUUUUUCAGGGAAGAAAACAACUUAGGUAUAAAAGAGAAGGAGACUGAAGAAUUAAAUUCUUACUGAAGAAGAAGGUUUUGAACAUCUGGCAAAUAAAUAAAUGUAAGAAAUUUUUAAA
rnacentral:lncRNA from 1 species